UCAUCCAUCCAUAUCACCCUGCAACUCACAACUGGCAGCCCACUGAAGCUCAGCAGGUGUGAGCCUGGUCAGUACCUGGAUGGGAGACCUCCUGGGAAAAACUAAGGUUGCUGCUGGAA
ensembl:rRNA 5S_rRNA 5S ribosomal RNA